CUUAAAAAUAGCAUUAAUUUUUACUUUUGCAUUUUUAUUUUAUAAAAGAAAAAUACAAUUAUAAGAGUUUUUCAAUGUGCUCAGAAGUUCUGAUGUAGUCUCAGUUUUGUAAAUUCUUUAUAGAUUUAACUUUCGUCAUUGUGGAUGUUCUCAAACAGUGCUAAAGGUUCAUGAUCUGUGUUAAUUUGUGAUUUUGCUGAAGCUCUGUGAGUCAGUGAAUGCCCACUUAGAGGAUUACUUAAUCAGAAGCAGUCCUAUUUUAGCAUCCACAUUGCCAUGGGGUUAUGUCUUCUGAUUUGUGUCAUGUGUACAUGUGUUAACUUUCAGGGUCACUUAAAUAAGUGCUUUAUUCUCUUUACCUCUGAAAAUGUACCAUUGAAUUGGUAAAUGCAUAUGACAUAAAUCUAUUUUUUCAUGUAAGGCCUUGGAUUUCAGUGAUGAUGAAAAGGAAAAAGAAGCCAAACAGAGGAAAAAAUCUCAGGUUCAAGGUCGGAAAAAAUUCAGAUCUGAAUUUAAUGAACCUGGUGAAGAUUUUGCAGAAGUACAUCACAAUUGGAAUGUUCAUAGCUCUGCUUCAGAGCAUUCCAAAGGAUAUCACAACAGAGAAUUCACAAGAGGAUUUUCCCAGGGUAGAUAUCCUCGAUCUUGCCCUGGCAGGCCCCAACCUCCACAGUUUUAUAACGCAGAACACAUGGUCCCUCAGGACACUUCAGGAUUUGCGCCACAGAGACAGGAUAGCCCCAUGAUGCCACAGUAUCCCUUCCCUCCUCCAGGGUUUGACAUGCAUAACUUCUCCCUUCCUCCCCCCCCACCCCCUCCACCUCCACCGCCUGCCUCCACAAACAUGGGCUGGGUUGCCCCUGCUGUGGCCCCUCACCCGAUAAUACCCCUACCCUACUCCCUAGCCCCACCUCCAGCCCCCCCACCCCUGCCUCCGCCUUCCUCUUCUGGAGAUGGUAAUUCUGCUCAUUUUGGACCUUACUAUUAGGUCGAUGUAUGCAUUCCUGAGAAAUGUGUACUUUUAUAUACACACAUGCAUAUAUAUGUGGAAGCAUUUUUUAAAAAGAGAUUAUGGAGCUAGAUUUUUAAAGCAUUGUAAAUUAAAAAAUAGUUCCUUCAGUUGUAGGUUGAUAUAUAUUGUAACCUUUAUGAAAACUUAAUGUUAAACUUGUGGAGGGGAAUCCAAUUAUGUAAUAUUUAAUUAAUACUUUGAACCUUGCCUAAUUAAAUAGUAUGCCUCAAUCUAAUAAUCUGGGGCACCUUUCAUCAUGAAUUAAAAUAUAUUGACCAUACUGAUUAUCUUCUUGGUAUAUCUGAAAAUAAAAUGUUAAGUCUUAUUGAGAGCCUUUAAAAUAAACUAUUUUUAUAAAUAUAUUUUAAAAAUUGAUUUUGGUUGUAAAUGCAGUUUCCAAUAAAUUUAAAUGUACUUUUUUUUUAAAAAAGCAAGUGAAAGGUAUAGAGAAGAAAAGUGUUAUUAUGUCUUGGCAGAAGUCAUGUGUAUAAUUAAAGUUAAUAUUUAUUUAUAUUAUAUUGACAGGCUUUCUAUUAUCUGUGCAGAUUUCCAUUAUUCAGGCAUGAUUCAGUAAACUUCACUGUUUAACUGCUUAAAGAGACACAAAGAGUGGUCACAGUAAAAUGCAUUAUUCAUUCACAGUAAUGUGCACUUACCAACAGCAAGGAGACUUGUAUGUCCAUAUGGAUUUCCCAGAUUCUUGGAUGCCUGGCACAGAUGAAGUGCUUAAUAAAAAAAAAUCUGUUAAAUGACAGACUGAAUGUAGACUUUUAAUUAAAUAACCAGUGAAUGUUAUUUUACAUGACUAUGUACUCAUGAAACAUAAGUGUAAGAAAAUCUUAGAAUUUUAGAGAUAGAAGAGGCUUUAGAAGUAGCCUAGAGUAGUCCUAAUUUAAUAACCUUGGAGCAGCCUAAGGACUCCAGAGAAAUCAAGUCACUAAGGUUGCCCAGUGAGGCAACAAGAAGAUAAACUGAAUUCUGAUCUUCAAACCUGCACUUUAUAUAAAAUUGGUGUUUUCCAAUCUUUCAUUCCUUGGCAGUCUUAGAAAAUAAUACUUGUUUGUUGAUUGGGGUAAUCUGGUAAUUUAUCACAAGCGUGUGGAUUCAAGUUGCAGGUCCCCAUUUUCUACCCUCUCCCUCCCCUCCCCACCGCCACCCCCAAGGGCUGAGGAGACUCUCUUUAGGGUUCUUGGGUCGUGAGAUGAGAGGUUCUUGCUUUGGUGGUAACACUGGCUUAGACAUGUGCUGUAUUUCAUGUUUUUUUUUGAAAUGUUAUCGCAGCUUCUGGUUAUGUGUUGCCUUUAUAGAUCACAGCACCGUCUUACAGCAUAGUAAGACACAGUCUUCUUUUGGUUGAUGAAAUAUUUUAAGAGUUAUGUGAG
ensembl:lncRNA